rnacentral:lncRNA from 1 species
UUCAUGCAUCAGCUCUUAUGGGUUGGAGUCUCAUGCAUGCAGCUCUCACAGGGUGGUGCUGCAUGUGAGUAGCUCUACGGCUCUGGGUUUUCAAGGGCAGCAUCACCCCUGUGACUCCACUAGGCAUUGCCCUAAUGGAGAUUCUCUUAGGUAGUUUUCCCCUGUGCAGAUUUCUUCCUGGGCUCUCAGGCUAUCAGAUAUAACCUUCAAAAUAUAGGUAGAGGUACCAUGCCUUCACAGCUCAUGAACUCGGAACAGAUUACUGCCUUGCAGCCCACCUUCCCAGUGGAUCUGAGUAGCUUAAUAUGUUACACAUUUUAUCCUCUCAGGAAAAUGUUUCUUACUUUCAAGCUAUAAUUAACUUAUUCUCUAACGAU